CAGCCGCCACGGGAAUACGUAGGGUGCAAGCGUUAAUCGGAAUUACUGGGCGUAAAGCGUGCGCAGGCGGUUAUAUAAGACAGAUGUGAAAUCCCCGGGCUCAACCUGGGAACUGCAUUUGUGACUGUAUAGCUAGAGUACGGCAGAGGGGGAUGGAAUUCCGCGUGUAGCAGUGAAAUGCGUAGAUAUGCGGAGGAACACCGAUGGCGAAGGCAAUCCCCUGGGCCUGUACUGACGCUCAUGCACGAAAGCGUGGGGAGCAAACAGGAUUAGAUACCCCAGUAGUCCCUGUCUCUUAUAU
rnacentral:rRNA from 1 species